rnacentral:tRNA from 1 species
CAGUCUUAUAGUCAAUUAUGACAUUAAAUUGCAAAUUUAAAGGUUUAUAUAAAUUUAAGGCUU